GAUGAAGAACGUAGCGAAAUGCGAUACUUGGUGUGAAUUGCAGAAUCCCGUGAACCAUCGAGUCUUUGAACGCAAGUUGCGCCCGAAGCCAUUAGGCCGAGGGCACGCCUGCCUGGGCGUCACACGUCGUUGCCCCCCCAUCUACUCCUUCGGGAUUGCGGGGGGCGGAUGAUGGCCUCUCGUGCGCCUCGUCGCGCGGUUGGCCUAAAUGCCAAGUCCUCGGCGACGCACGCCACGACAAUCGGUGGUUGCGAGACCUCGGUUGCCUGUCGUGUGCGGUCGUCGCGCAUCGAGGGCUCGAAAAAAUUGCCGGGCUUCGGCUCGACUUUCAACGCGACCCCAGGUCAGGCGGGGUUACCCGCUGAAUUUAAGCAUAUCAAUAAGCGGAGGA
rnacentral:misc_RNA from 1 species